AAAAACACUGGCUCCUGAUUGGCUGGCGCACGGUCUUUCGCUUGGCAACAGCGCGCCGAUUAGUCCGCGCUCUGAGGGCGCCCAGAAAGGAUCAAGUGACCGGGACCCUCAGAGGAUAAAUACCCGGGGAGAUAGACAUGGCGGUAUCUCUUGAGGAAGGAUAGAGAACUAUCCGAAACGUGUUGAGGCCGUCUGCAUACCGGGAGCUGAGAGUAUCACUGAAGGGAAGGCGAAGCUGCUGCUUAACAUCCAUCCGCCUGGCACCGAUCGUGACUGCAGCACGAACAGAGACCGGAAAGGACGCUUUACACUACAUCUCCCCGCAAGUGACUGUCUCAGCAUACCUGUAUUUUAACUGGUGUUUGGUUUAAUAAACCUGUUCCUUUUGGACCGAUGCUACACGUCUUUCUCUGAUAAGAAGUGGGGGACCAUAAAGAUACCUAAGAUACCUUUUGAAGCACGCGAGACUGAACUCCAAUGAAACGUACAGUGAUGUUGUCCGCUUGUCGGAGAGAGAAAGCCGAUAUAGUCUUCCUCCAAGAGACUCACUUCACCAGUGCACACUCUCAACUAUCCGAUUGUAGGAAGAAACCGGAGUACCCGGAGGAACUCCACUCAAGUACAGGGAGAACAUACAAACUCCACACAGGACCAUGGUGGGAAUCGAACCCAUGACCUCAGUGCAGUGAGGCAGUAAUGCUAACCAUUACACCAUCCGUGCUGCCCACCCUCCGUCCCCUUAUGUUGUGUUGCCUUUAAAUGACCCCAUGAUAAGACUUUGCAGACGGGACGCGGCAAUAACCUGGUUUAUGAUCACUAUGCAGGCGCCGCAGUGUAAAUAGGAGCGCUUUUAUGGUGUCACUGAGCAGCACAUUCCUGCAAAGGAGGAUUUUACAGCCUGUGGGGCACAGGGCACACCAUAGUACACUGCCCCUGUAUAGUGAUACACAAGUCACACUCUGGAGGCUAGAGGGCACACCAUCAUACUAUAGUACACUGCCCCUGUAUAGUGAUACACAAGUCACACUCUGGAGGUAAUGCCUGGAGGCUAGAGGACACCAUCAUACUAUAGUACACUGCCCCUGUAUAGUGAUACACAAGUCACACUCUGGAGGUAAUACCCGAAGGCUAGAGGACACACCAUCAUACUAUAGUUCACUGCCCCUGUAUAGUGAUACACAAGGUCACACUCUGGAGGUAAUGCCUGGAGGCUAGAGGACACACCAUCACACUAUAGUACACUGCUCCUGUAUAGUGAUACACAAGUCACACUCUGGAGGUAAUGCCUGGAGGCUAGAGGACACUGCCCCUGUAUAGUGAUACACAAGUCACACUCUGGAGGUAAUGCCUGGAGGCUUGAGGACACACCAUCAUACUAUAGUACACUGCCCCUGUAUAGUGAUACACAAGUCACACUCAGGAGGUAAUGCCUGGAGGCUAGAGGACACACCAUCAUACUAUAUUACACUGCCCCUGUAUAGUGAUACACAAGUCACACUCUGGAGGUAAUGCCUGGAGGUUAGAGGGCACACCAUCACACUAUAGUACACUGCCCCUGUAUAGUGAUACACAAGUCACACUCUGGAGGCUAGAGGGCACACCAUCACACUAUAGUACACUGCCCCUGUAUAGUGAUACACAAGUCACACUCAGGAGGUAAUACCCGAAGGCUAGAGGGCACACCAUCAUACUAUAGUACACUGCUCCUGUAUAGUGAUACACAAGUCACACUCUGGAGGUAAUGCCUGGAGGCUUGAGGACACACCAUCAUACUAUAGUACACUGCCCCUGUAUAGUGAUACACAAGUCACACUCUGGAGGUAAUACCCGAAGGCUAGAGGGCACACCAUCACACUAUAGUACACUGCCCCUGUAUAGUGAUACACAAGUCACACUCUGGAGGUAAUGCCUGGAGGCUAGAGGACACCAUCACACUAUAGUACACUGCCCCUGUAUAGUGAUACACAAGAGACACUCUGGAGGUAAUGCCUGGAGGCUAGAGGACACAUCAUACUAUAGUACACUGCCCCUGUAUAGUGAUACACAAGACACACUCUGGAGGCUAGAGGACACCAUAGUACACUGCUCCUGUAUAGUGAUACACAAGUCACACUCUGGAGGACAGUGUCCCUGUAUUAUUGUAUCACCAGUUACUAUUCUUUCGGUUAGAACGAAUAACGUCCUAAUCAUGUGUUUUAUUUCCUAUAUCUUCUGGAGGUCAGAUGGUGUGUCUAAAUAUAGUAGUUAUGA